UCGAACGCUGAAGCCUGGUGCUUGCACCGGGUGGAUGAGUGGCGAACGGGUGAGUAAUACGUGAGUGACCUGCCUUUGACUCUGGGAUAAGCCUGGGAAACUGGGUCUAAUACCGGAUGCGACUACUGCCCGCAUGGGCUGGUGGUGGAAAGGGUUAUGUACUGGUCUUAGAUGGGCUCACGGCCUAUCAGCUGGUUGGUGGGGUAAUGGCCUACCAAGGCGACGACGGGUAGCCGGCCUGAGAGGGUGACCGGCCACACUGGGACUGAGACACGGCCCAGACUCCUACGGGAGGCAGCAGUGGGGAAUAUUGCACAAUGGGCGCAAGCCUGAUGCAGCGACGCCGCGUGAGGGAUGACGGCCUUCGGGUUGUAAACCUCUUUCAGCAGGGAAGAAGCGGAAGUGACGGUACCUGCAGAAGAAGCGCCGGCUAACUACGUGCCAGCAGCCGCGGUAAUACGUAGGGCGCAAGCGUUGUCCGGAAUUAUUGGGCGUAAAGAGCUCGUAGGCGGCUUGUCGCGUCUGCUGUGAAAGCCCGGGGCUUAACUCCGGGUGUGCAGUGGGUACGGGCAGGCUAGAGUGCAGUAGGGGUAACUGGAAUUCCUGGUGUAGCGGUGAAAUGCGCAGAUAUCAGGAGGAACACCGAUGGCGAAGGCAGGUUACUGGGCUGUUACUGACGCU
rnacentral:rRNA from 1 species